rnacentral:lncRNA from 1 species
CUUUAAUGGUUUUUCGUUCUAAUUUUCCCAGACUGGUAGCUUGGGGUUUGGAAGCGGUCCAAGAAAAGGGAGCCAGUCUUCCUCCAUGGCCCUCCCUCCAGCUUUGGGGAACAAAGAGCAAUGUGAAGAUGCUACCGAGGGCCUCCUCUUCCUUUCCUGCUUCCCUAGGGGGUGCUGGGGCUGGGGCCACAGUGGGGAAGGCAGAGGUUAUCUUGCAUAGGAUUAGGUUCUAGGUGGCUGCCAACUUCUUGCACAAGCACUACUGGAAAAUCACACAAAGAGAAAGCUGUGAAAUUGAGGUCUCAAUUGCAGAGGCCUGGAAUAGAGCCUUUCAGAGGUGGGGAAGAGGACCUGACUGGACUAGAGGGCCUUUCCCCAGUCCCUCAUCCGGGUUCCUAGAGAGUGGAUCCUGGGCCCUCAGAUGAUGACAUGGAGCUGGAAAGCCCUGCAAGGCCUGCUGACUACAGGCCUCGCUGCAGCCUCUCUGGGCCAGCUUCCUGCAGCCCAUCCUCAGAUCCUGGAGCCCCCCCCCCCGGGGGGGGGCAGUUGGAGGAAGAAGAGCUUCAGAUGUGCAGUCCAACAGGGGGGUACUCGUUUGUAGCCUGCAGAGCCGCUGAAGCGGGCCUGAAGCUGUUCCUCCGAGCUGCAGUAACAGGAUUCCAGCCUCGUUGACUGUUUCCUUCUCUUUGUACCUAAUUUUUUUUUAAAAAAACAAAAAUUUGUUUUUUGAGAAGGUGCAUAUUUCAGGAGUGGUCGGCGACUGAGGAAAGAGCUCCAUCAUUCCAUUGUGAGGCCCGUGCCCUCUCUCUUUGCUCUGGUAUCCAGGACUGUGUGAAGGAACAACUGCUAGACUUAAGUGUUCGAGCAAAGAACCCGUCUGACAUGCUGCUAUGAAGACACUUUUAGAACAAACACACACAAAAUAGAAAAGAAAAAAAAAAAACAAGAAAAAUGUGAAAAAAAAUCUACAAAAACCCCCUUUUAUUCUUGUUGCUUUUACAGUGGAACUGUGCAUGCGAACCAGGAGCAUUUUGUGUCUUAAGAAAAAUAACCUUAGAGCAGAUGGCCGUGAGAAUCCCACGUGCUGAGAACAAGCCGCAGGAGCGGAGUUCACGAUUGGAUUUUUCUCUCUCCUUACGACCAUGAAGGGUUGAUCCAUCCUUCCGUGCAGUUAUUAGAAUUUAGUUUUGUCCCAGCAGUGUUAAACUUGCAAUGAGGAGAAAAUGUGCCAUCCCCUGCCCGGACUUACCCAUAGCUGUACGUCGAUCGAUACUGCUGUACACACAUGUGAUGGUUUUGGUUUUGUUUUGUUUUGUUUUUUUUUUUUUUUUAAGUGAGAUUUCUUCUGUAGCUAUUCUUUGACCAAACUGUGGAUACUGUUAAUAUUAAUUUAUAUUUGUCUCAUUUUGUAUGUAUGUAUGGCGUGUUUGUGAGUAUGUCUGGUUUAUAAUCUGACGAGACUCAUGAAGCUCUGUUUGGCUGUAAUUUAAUUCCCCUUCCCUUAUUUUUAUUUAUUUUUGUACUGUGCUGAUUCAAUAAAAUGCACUGACCAUCCAGCA